AUGAACGCUGGCGGCGUGCCUAAUACCUGCAAGUCGAGCGAACAGACGAGGAGCUUGCUCCUCUGACGUUAGCGGCGGACGGGUGAGUAACACGUGGAUAACCUUCCUAUAAGACUGGGAUAACUUCGGGAAACCGGAGCUAAUACCGGAUAAUAUAUUGAACCGCAUGGUUCAAUAGUGAAAGACGGUUUUGCUGUCACUUAUAGAUGGAUCCGCGCCGCAUUAGCUAGUUGGUAAGGUAACGGCUUACCAAGGCAACGAUGCGUAGCCGACCUGAGAGGAUGAUCGGCCACACUGGAACUGAGACACGGUCCAGACUCCUACGGGAGGCAGCAGUAGGGAAUCUUCCGCAAUGGGCGAAAGCCUGACGGAGCAACGCCGCGUGAGUGAUGAAGGUCUUCGGAUCGUAAAACUCUGUUAUUAGGGAAGAACAAAUGUGUAAGUAACUAUGCACGUCUUGACGGUACCUAAUCAGAAAGCCACGGCUAACUACGUG
rnacentral:rRNA from 1 species